rnacentral:rRNA from 1 species
AUUAGUUUGAUCAUGGCUCAGAUUGAACGCUGGCGGCAGGCCUAACACAUGCAAGUCGAGCGGAUGAGAAGAGCUUGUCUUCGAUUCAGCGGCGGAGGGUGAGUAAUGCCUAGGAAUCUGCCUGGUAGUGGGGGACAACGUUUCGAAAGGAACGCAAUACCGCAUACGUCCUACGGGAGAAAGCAGGGGACCUUCGGGCCUUGCGCUAUCAGAUGAGCCUAGGUCGGAUUAGCUAGUUGGUGAGGUAAUGGCUCACCAAGGCGACGAUCCGUAACUGGUCUGAGAGGAUGAUCAGUCACACUGGAACUGAGACACGGUCCAGACUCCUACGGGAGGCAGCAGUGGGGAAUAUUGGACAAUGGGCGAAAGCCUGAUCCAGCCAUGCCGCGUUGUGAAGAAGGUCUUCGGAUUGUAAAGCACUUUAAGUUGGGAGGAAGGGUCUUAACCUAAUACGUUA